AGAAUCAACGCUGGCGGCGUGCCUAACACAUGCAAGUCGAACGAGAAAGUGGUAGCAAUACCAUGAGUAAAGUGGCGCACGGGUGAGUAACACGUGACUAACCCACCCUUGAGUGGGGGAUAACUGAGGGAAACCUUAGCUAAUACCGCAUAAUACCCACGGGUCAAAGGAGCAAUUCGCUCGAGGAGGGGUCGCGGCCGAUUAGUUAGUUGGCGGGGUAAUGGCCCACCAAGACGAUGAUCGGUA
rnacentral:rRNA from 1 species